GGGCCAAGGCUGGAGGAUGUGUUUAACCUGAGGACUGGAACUCAUCCUGACAGUGCAGUAUAUUUCCACAGGGGCAUUACUUGGACAUGUGGGAGAGCUUCCCAGUGCUGGAAUCUGAAGGAUUUUCUAGCUGGGAAAACAUUUGCUGGCAAAGAUCAAGAAACUUGUAUCAUCUGAACAUUUCAGGACAAUCUUUUUCUGAACACUGAGAUGAGGCUCCCAUGAGGCCAGUUCAUCCACUAAGCUGUUUACCCUCCAACACCCAGAGCCAGAGAUCAACAAUGGAUGAGACUCAGAGGGAUCAAAACGUCCUUGUUGUGCUCUGGCUUUGUUCACGUGUCUGUUACAGACACAGCACUCAGGGAGUGAGAUGCACAGACAGAGAGAAGAGGAAGGUGAGAAAGAAGAGGAUCUAAAAAUAAGUCGAGAGAGAGAGAGUAGAAGACAAAGCCAGACGAAGACAAAAGGCCCAUGAUUUUAAUCUAACCACAGGAAGGUGCAGUAGAUAUUAUAUCAAUAGCUCUGUACUGU